AUUUCUCUGUGUGCCUUGCCAAGAUAUUCAUUUCAAAGAAGGCUCUGGCUCCUUCGGCCGCCUUUCCCAGCGCCCACGUGCCUCCCUCCACGGGAUGGAGUUGCACAACUGGUUUUCCAAGCAGAGAACCAUGUUGGGUCCUGAAGAGAAACACAGCCAUCCAGGAUGCUGGCCAGCCAAGAGGUCAAGCAGGCAGUCCUCUAGCUUUCAACCUGGCUCGUCUGCAUUCCAGGCCAGCAGAGGAAGCAGAGGCUACACAAGUGCUCAGUCACCAUGCCAGAAGCUGGGAGCCACCCUCAGCUCGUCUGUUAUCUUACUUGUUUCUGCAAGAGCUCUGACCUCAGCAUGCCGGGCUUUGAGUUCUAUCACGCACUAAAUCCGUGACCUUUUAUAUCUCUGUGUCUCAAUGUAAUUUGUUAUGGUUUAGAUGAAAAAUGUCACUCAGAGACUUCUUGGACUCUUAGGUGGGGCUUUUGGAAAGUGAUUGAGUCACAGGGAUGACGUAACUCACUUGCUGUUAGGAGACAGGAUCCAGUAAGAAGAGGCGGAUCACUUGGGGGUGUGACCUGGGAGAGUGUAUCCCCCUCCCUGGCGCCUCAUUUUUCUAUCUGUUACUUGACGGCCAUGACAUGAGGAUCUUUCCUCUACCCAGGCCCUCUACCAUGCAUGCUACUUCCACCUAGAGGCAGCUGAUCAUGCAGGCACAGAGAUUUCUGGAACCACAAGCCAAAAUAAACCUCUCCUUCUUUAA